UAAAAGUUCAAGAGCUUUAAAUAACCAUAACUAUGAGAUGAAGAUAAAGAUAUGACGACAAUUAUGAUGAUAUUGCCAUAGAUUAUGAAAAAGGGAAGAAGAAAAUGGUAAGUCAUAUCUUCCUAUCUUAUUUCAUUUUGCCUUUUUUUUUCUUAUUACAACAUUUUAUAUUUGGUUACUUGGGUUGACUAUACCUGUGCAUUCUUAUCUCUUGGACAACUUUUUGAUCAUGGUUGUACUAUCACUUUUUCUCACACUGGGUGUCUUGCGCAGGAUCAGCUCACAGGGAAGACGAUUGGUCGGGGCUAAUUCUUGAAAGCAGCAACUCCUACACCUACCACUACUUUAACAGAACAACUAUCGAUUCUCCCCCUUGAGUACCAAGUUGCCUUAAGAAAAGAAGAAAAAUCAAGUAAAGUACUUCUCUUAUAAAGUCAACUUUUAAUAACUUACCAAUCUUAGUUAUAAUAAGCAAGAGUUUGAGAGCUUGCUUGAUGGAUAGUCUAAAUAAAUGUUGAGUUAUUGUUAUUUAAUGUUUUAUCUUUCUAAGUAAGAAGAUUACAUGUAUGAUUGUUCUAUUAAAACAAAUGUAUUAGAUAUAAACUGUUUUAAAUUGCUUCAAUUAGAAAACAUGAAUUACUUCUAACUAUUUCUCAUAAUUAUGAUA
rnacentral:lncRNA from 1 species